GGUGGCGUGGCCUAAUGGUAAGGCGUUGCUUUCCGGCUCUCGGAACCUGGCAAAGACUGUGGGUUCGAGUCCCAUCGCCAUCG
rnacentral:tRNA from 1 species